GACGUAGGGCGCGAGCGUUGUCCGGAUUUAUUGGGCGUAAAGAGCUCGUAGGCGGCUUGUUGCGUCGGCUGUGAAAACCCAUGGCUCAACCGUGGGCUUGCAGCCGAUACGGGCAGGCUAGAGUUCGGUAGGGGAGACUGGAAUUCCUGGUGUAGCGGUGAAAUGCGCAGAUAUCAGGAGGAACACCGGUGGCGAAGGCGUGUCUCUGGGCCGAUACUGACGCUGAGGAGCGAAAGCGUGGGGAGCGAACAGG
rnacentral:rRNA from 1 species